rnacentral:rRNA from 1 species
UACGAAGGGGGCUAGCGUUGCUCGGAAUUACUGGGCGUAAAGCGCACGUAGGCGGUCUUUUAAGUCGGGGGUGAAAUCCUGGAGCUCAACUCCAGAACUGCCUUCGAUACUGGAAGACUUGAGUCCGGGAGAGGUGAGUGGAACUGCGAGUGUAGAGGUGAAAUUCGUAGAUAUUCGCAAGAACACCAGUGGCGAAGGCGGCGACCUGGUCCAUGACUGACGCUGAGGCGGCGAAAGCGAUGGGGAGCAAACAGGG